rfam:Moellerella wisconsensis ATCC 35017 Sequence00014, whole genome shotgun sequence.
AGCAAUGGUGGGCUGGAUAGGGGCAUCGAAAAGAUGCGCCGGGUUCUCUGUUGACCGGUCUGCUAACCUUACUCAGCUCACCACCUCU